AUGUUUGUCAUACGAGCAAAUUUUUACAAUAUAUUAUAUAUUAAUAAAGUUUCAAGUGUUCGCUUGUCCGUCGACCGAUUGUCUGUUCAUCGGCAAUAAUACGGCAAAGUUAUGUAUUUGAUAAUUUAUUCUUAGAAAAUAUUUCGUAAUAAAAUCAAAUAAAUAAUCGGUAACUAUUCAAACCGUCUAGUACACUGCCAAAAAUACUGACAAAUUUUAAACUACUUAUGUGACAAGACUCAACAGUUCGACAGAGAAUAUUCAGGUAUUUUUUAUCAGAGGUAGUCAGU